CCGUAGGUGAACCUGCGGAAGGAUCAUUG
rnacentral:ncRNA from 127 species